rnacentral:lncRNA from 1 species
UUAAAUGCAAUGCAGAGAUGACAGUCAAAGUUCUAUCCCCAAUCUACACCGGUCAAAGCCCAAGUGGAACCAUACUCAUCUAGUAAUUCGGCCCACUGCAUCCGGACCAAUAGGGCAAGAAUAAUCAUAACCCCAUGGAAGAGCCCAUUAAGUCUGGCCCAAUAAGGAAAAGGAACAUGGCCCAACAUUGCCCCCUAGUCUUUUAUUAAACAGAAGGUUUAAUGAAAGAGUAUAAGUGGAAUCAGUCCAGAAUAAAAGGAAUUAUAAUGAGAUCAACAAAGGCCCAAGAUACAACUUACCGAGGCCCAAAAGAGAAGCCCACUCCGGUAAACAAUAAAGACUAAAAUCGCACGCUACUUCUUUAACUUCACAAUCACCGUUGGCAUUAAAUGAGCCACCCCUGAACCUUAUGAAAAGUUG